rnacentral:rRNA from 1 species
UACGUAGGGUCCGAGCGUUGUCCGGAAUUAUUGGGCGUAAAGGGCUCGUAGGCGGUUCGUCACGUCGGGAGUGAAAACUCGGAGCUUAACUCCGAGCCUGCUUCCGAUACGGGCAGACUAGAGGUAGGCAGGGGAGAGCGGAACUCCUGGUGUAGCGGUGGAAUGCGCCAGAUAUCAGGAAGAACACCGGUGGCGAAGGCGGAUCUC